GACGAACGCUGGCGGCGUGCCUAAUACAUGCAAGUCGAGCGAACAGACGAGGAGCUUGCUCCGCUGACGUUAGGGGCGCACGGGUGAGUAACACGUGGAUAACCUACCUAUAAGACUGGGAUAACUUCGGGAAACGGGAGCAAAUACCGGAUAAUAUAUUGAACCGCAUGGUUCAAUAGUGAAAGACGGCUUUUCUGUCACUUAUAGAUGGAUCUGCGCCGCAUUAGAUAGUUGGUAAGGUAACGGCUUAUCAAGGCUACUAUGCGUAGCCGACGUGAUAGACUGGUAGGCCGCCCGGGAGCGGAGACGGCGACAUGGCGCCUGCGAGAGGGCGCAGUAGCGUACGUGACGCAGUAGGGGAAAGCAUUGCAGAACAGCGGGAAGUCAGAUAUAGAGAUGUUCGGAGCGUAAAACUGUGUUACGGGUUGUGAACAACUGUGUAAGGAGCUGUGGACUGCUUGACGGUACCUGGUAAGGAAGCAACGGCUAACUACGUG
rnacentral:rRNA from 1 species